rnacentral:rRNA from 1 species
UACGAAGGGGGCUAGCGUUGUUCGGAAUCACUGGGCGUAAAGCGCUUGUAGGCGGACUGUUAAGUCGGGGGUGAAAUCCUGAGGCUCAACCUCAGAAUUGCCUUCGAUACUGGCAGUCUUAUAGUCCGGGAGAGGUGAGUGGAACUCCUAGUGUAGAGGUGAAAUUCGUAGAUAUUAGGAAGAACACCAGUGGCGAAGGCGGCUCACUGGCCCGGUACUGACGCUGAUAAGCGAAAGCGUGGGGAGCAAACAGG